rnacentral:rRNA from 1 species
ACGAUAUAGUGGCAGACGGGUGAGUAACGCGUGGGAACGUACCUUUCACUACGGAAUAGCUCUUGGAAACGAGUGGUAAUACCGUAUACGCCCUCCGGGGGAAAGAUUUAUCGGUGAAAGAUCGGCCCGCGUUAGAUUAGCUAGUUGGUAGGGUAAUGGCCUACCAAGGCAACGACGGGUAGCUGGUCUGAGAGGAUGAUCAGCCACACUGGGACUGAGACACGGCCCAGACUCC